CCGGCGACCGGCGCACGGGUGAGUAACACGUAUGCAACCUGGCCGUGACAGAUGGAUAACCGGGAGAAAUCCCGCCUAAUACAGCAUGACGCCGCGGGAGGACAUCCUCCCGCGGCCAAAGGGGCGACCCGGUCACGGAUGGGCAUGCGGCGCAUUAGGUAGUUGGUGGGGCAACGGCCCACCAAGCCGGCGAUGCGUAGGGGUUCUGAGAGGAAGGUCCCCCACAUUGGAACUGAGACACGGUCCGAACUCCUACGGGAGGCAGCAG
rnacentral:rRNA from 1 species